UAGGUGGAGGAUCCAAUGGGCCCAGGGUUUCCCAGGAUUGCUGACCCAACCCAGCAGGACCAAUGGCAAAGGGCAGUCACAGGAGAUAGGUUUCAUCAAAGGCUUUCCUCACUGUGUACCUCGGGAGGAAACUACAAACCUACAUUUGGAAAAGGGACCAGCCUGGUGGUUCAUCCAUAUAUCCAGGACCCAGAACCUGCCUUGUACCAGCUGAGAGACCCUCGGUCUAAGGACAGCACCCUCUGCCUGUUCACCGACUUUGAUUCUCAAGUCAAUAUGUCGAAAAGCAUGGAAUCUGGAGUGUUCAUCUCUGACAAAACCGUGCUGGACAUGAAGGCAAUGGAUUCCAAGAGCAAUGGAGCCAUUGCCUGGAGCAACCAAACGAACUUUAACUGCAAAGACGCCUUCAAGGAGGAAGCCGCCUACCCCAGUUCAGACGUUCCCUGUGAUGCCAAGUUGGUCGAGAAAAGCUUUGAAACAGAUAUGAACCUAAACUUUCAAAACCUGUCAGUAAUGGGACUCCGAAUCCUCCUGCUGAAAGUGGCGGGAUUUAACCUGCUCAUGACGCUGAGGCUGUGGUCCAGUUGAGGUCGGCAAGAUUGAAAGAGGCCACUCCCAAGCUCCGCCCUCCUCCCCACUCCUCCGUUCCCUCUUCAAGCCAAAAGAAGCCCCACCACCACCACCACCACCACCUCAUAAAGAAGGCCAUCUGGGGACUGGCUGGCCCCAGCUCACAAUCCCAUCAACUGAAUCUCCCGGAUUUGUGAGGGAAGUUGCUGGAGAGCUAAGCGCUGCUUCACCCACUCAGCUCCCUUACUGCUGCUGACUGUCGUCGCCCCGACGGGGGCGGAGCCUCUCCUGGAUCUGAAGACCCCUCCCCCAUGACAGAUUCCCCUGUAGAAUCUCUUGGAGAAUGUUGUAAAGAACAUGUUUUUGUUUUGUUUUGUUUUUGAGGGGGGGGGGUGUUACUGGUUUAUUUGUUUUUUAAGCAUCUAUAAAGAAAUGCAUAUUACUCUCUCAUCAAGGUGUAGAAAUUAUCUUCAUUGUCUAGACCCUCCCUCCUGCUGUGUGUAUUGUGUCACAUUGUCUAUGAUUCUGCUGCCCAUGACAUCAUUAAAGGUGAUUCAGAAAAACUGAAA